UACGUAGGGGGCAAGCGUUGUCCGGAUUUAUUGGGCGUAAAGAGCGUGUGGGCGGCCAGGUAGGUCCGUUGUGAAAACUCGAGGCUCAACCUCGAGACGCCGAUGGAAACCAUCUGGCUAGAGUCCGGAAGAGGAGAGUGGAAUUCCCGGUGUAGCGGUGAAAUGCGCAGAUAUCGGGAAGAGCACCCGUGGCUAAGGCGGCUCUCUAGUACGGUACUGACGCUGAGACGCGAAAGCGUGGGGAGCGAACAGG
rnacentral:rRNA from 1 species